rnacentral:rRNA from 1 species
AUUGAACGCUGGCGGCAGGCCUAACACAUGCAAGUCGAGCGAGCGGCGGACGGGUGCGGACUGUAUGGGGACUGCCCGAUAGAGGGGGAUAACUCCUGGAAACGGUAGCUAAUACCGCAUACUAUCGGAUAACCCAUAUGGGAUUAGCUAGUCGGUGAGGUAAUGGCUCACUUAGGCGACGAUCCCUAGCUGGUCUGAGAGGAUGAUCAGCCACACUGGGACUGAGACACGGGCCAGACUCCUACGGAGGCAGCAGUGGGGAAUAUUGCACAAUGGGCGCAAGGCUGAUGCAGCCAUGCCGCGUGGAGGAAGAAGGCCCUAGGGUUGUAAAGUACUGUCAGUCGGGAGGCGUUACCGACAGAAGAAGCACCGGCUAACUCCGUGCCAGCAGCCGCGGUAAUUA